GUGGGGAAUAUUGGGCAAUGGGCGAAAGCCUGACCCAGCAACGCCGCGUGAAGGAAGAAGGCCCUCGGGUUGUAAACUUCUUUUAAGAGGGACGAAAGAAAUGACGGUACCUCUUGAAUAAGCCACGGCUAACUACGUGCCAGCAGCCGCGGUAAUACGUAGGUGGCGAGCGUUAUCCGGAUUUACUGGGUGUAAAGGGCGUGUAGGCGGGAGUGCAAGUCAGAUGUGAAAAUUAUGGGCUCAACCCAUAACCUGCAUUUGAAACUGUUCUUCUAGAGUGAUGGAGAGGCAGGCGGAAUUCCGUGUGUAGCGGUGAAAUGCGUAGAUAUACGGAGGAACACCAGUGGCGAAGGCGGCCUGCUGGACAUUAACUGACGCUGAGGCGCGAAAGCGUGGGGAGCAAACAGGAUUAGAAACCCCGGUAGUCC
rnacentral:rRNA from 1 species